CCUACGGGAUGCUGCAGUGGGGGCUAUUGCACAAUGGGGGGAACCCUGAUGCAGCGACGCCGCGUGGGUGAAGAAGCGCCUCGGCGCGUAAAGCCCUGUCAGCAGGGACGAAAAUGACGGUACCUGACUAAGAAGCCCCGGCUAACUACGUGCCAGCAGCCGCGGUAAUACGUAGGGGGCAAGCGUUAUCCGGAUUUACUGGGUGUAAAGGGAGCGUAGACGGUCCUGCAAGCCAGAUGUGAAAGCCUGGGGCUCAACCCCGGGACUGCAUUUGGAACUGUAAGGCUAGAGUGUAGGAGAGGCAGGCGGAAUUCCUAGUGUAGCGGUGAAAUGCGUAGAUAUUAGGAGGAACACCAGUGGCGAAGGCGGCCUGCUGGACGAUGACUGACGUUGAGGCUCGAAAGCGUGGGGAGCAAACAGGAUUAGAUACCCCGGUAGGC
rnacentral:rRNA from 1 species